UGGGGAAUUUUGGACAAUGGGCGAAAGCCUGAUCCAGCAAUGCCGCGUGUGUGAAGAAGGCCUUCGGGUUGUAAAGCACUUUUGUCCGGAAAGAAAUGGCUCUGGUUAAUACCUGGGGUCGAUGACGGUACCGGAAGAAUAAGGACCGGCUAACUACGUGCCAGCAGCCGCGGUAAUACGUAGGGUCCAAGCGUUAAUCGGAAUUACUGGGCGUAAAGCGUGCGCAGGCGGUUGUGCAAGACCGAUGUGAAAUCCCCGAGCUUAACUUGGGAAUUGCAUUGGUGACUGCACGGCUAGAGUGUGUCAGAGGGGGGUAGAAUUCCACGUGUAGCAGUGAAAUGCGUAGAGAUGUGGAGGAAUACCGAUGGCGAAGGCAGCCCCCUGGGAUAACACUGACGCUCAGGCACGAAAGCGUGGGGAGCAAACAGG
rnacentral:rRNA from 1 species